rnacentral:rRNA from 1 species
CUCGAAACAAAAAGAUCUAAGAUUUAAAGCAUGGCUAUGUGGUAAAAUGGUAUGAAAUUUAGUCUUAGUAAUGAUAUUUUAGUCGAGUUUUGUAUAUCUAGUUCUUUCCGAAGGGAAUUUAAUUUCGCUUUUACAUUUUAGUAAUGUAAGAUUAAAAAUUAAGAGGGAAAAGCUUCUUAGUUUUGCUAUAAAGGCAGUAUAGUAGUGUUUUAAAUUAGGCUUAAGAGCAGCCAUAUUAAUAAAGCGUUCUAGUUAAUUUAUUUUAAAAGUAAAUUUAUAUGUUUUUUAGUUAGUUAGGAGGGAGUUGGUUAGAUUUAUGAAAAUUUAGUUAAAAUGAUUUUAUUAGUAUAUUUAUUUGUAAUAUUAUUUAUAUUGAAAUAUUUGUGGAAAUAUAAUUAGUUAAAGAUGCAGAGAAGGAACUCGGCAAGUAUUAUUUUUGCCUGUUUAUCAAAAACAUGUCUGUACGUAGAAAAUGUAGAGUCUGGCCUGCCCACUGAAAGUUUUAAAGGGCCGCGGUAAUUUGACCGUGCGAAGGUAGCAUAAUCAAUAGUCUCUUAAUUGGAGGCUGGAAUGAAUGGUCGUACAAAAAAUAAUCUGUCUCAUCUGCAAAAGUAAAAUUUUACUUUUGAGUGAAAAGGCUCAAAUAUAUUAAGGGGACGAUAAGACCCUAUAAAACUUUAUAUAAAAGAAUUAAUUUUUAAAUUAUGGUAUAAGAGUGGAUUAGUUUUUGUUUAUUAUGUUGGGGCGACAAGAAUAUAAAUAGGUAACUGUUUGAGAAUUAAAAUAAUUAUUUUUAGAGAUAUUGAUCCUUUUUUAAGGAUUAUAAGAAAAAGUUACUUUAGGGAUAACAGCGUGAUUUUUUCUGAGAGUUCUUAUCGACGAAAGUAGUUGCGACCUCGAUGUUGAAUUAAGGUUUCCCUAAGGUGUAGAAGUUUUAGUGGUAGGUCUGUUCGACCUUUAAAAUCUUACAUGAUUUGAGUUCAAACCGGUGUGAGCCAGGUUGGUUUCUAUCUUUUAAUUUUUUAUGGAUCUACUUUAGUACGAAAGGACCAAGUAG